AGAGUUUGAUCCUGGCUCAGGAUGAACGCUAGCGGCAGGCUUAACACAUGCAAGUCGAGGGGUAUAUGUCUUCGGAUAUAGAGACCGGCGCACGGGUGCGUAAAGCGUAUGCAAUCUACCUUUUACAGAGGGAUAGCCCAGAGAAAUUUGGAUUAAUACCUCAUAGUAUAGUGACUCGGCAUCGAGAUACUAUUAAAGUCACAACGGUAAAAGAUGAGCAUGCGUCCCAUUAGCUAGUUGGUAAGGUAACGGCUUACCAAGGCUACGAUGGGUAGGGGUCCUGAGAGGGAGAUCCCCCACACUGGUACUGAGACACGGACCAGACUCCUACGGGAGGCAGCAGUGAGGAAUAUUGGACAAUGGGCGCAAGCCUGAUCCAGCCAUGCCGCGUGCAGGAUGACGGUCCUAUGGAUUGUAAACUGCUUUUGUACGAGAAGAAACACUCCUACGUGUAGGAGCUUGACGGUAUCGUAAGAAUAAGGAUCGGCUAACUCCGUGCCAGCAGCCGCGGUAAUACGGAGGAUCCAAGCGUUAUCCGGAAUCAUUGGGUUUAAAGGGUCCGUAGGCGGUUUAGUAAGUCAGUGGUGAAAGCCCAUCGCUCAACGGUGGAACGGCCAUUGAUACUGCUAAACUUGAAUUAUUAGGAAGUAACUAGAAUAUGUAGUGUAGCGGUGAAAUGCUUAGAGAUUACAUGGAAUACCAAUUGCGAAGGCAGGUUACUACUAAUGGAUUGACGCUGAUGGACGAAAGCGUGGGUAGCGAACAGGAUUAGAUACCCUGGUAGUCCACGCCGUAAACGA
rnacentral:rRNA from 1 species